rnacentral:rRNA from 1 species
GAUGAACGCUGGCGGCGUGGCUAAGGCAUGCAAGUCGAGCGCAACCAUUGGUGUAGCAAUACAUUAGUGCGUUGAGCGGCAAACGGGAGCGUAACACAUUGGCAAUCUACCUUCUUCUCGUGAAUAACCAAGGGAAACUUUGGCUAAUACACGAUACGGAUGGGGGGACGCAAGUCAUUCCCAUUGAAAGAUUUAUCGGAAGCAGAGGAGCCUAUGUUCCAUCAGCUAGUUGGCGGGGUAAAGGCCUACCAAGGCGCAGAGCCGUAUCUGGGCUGAGAGGCUGAUCAGCCACACUGGAACGGAGACACGGUCCAGACUCCUACGGGAGGCAGCAGUUGGGAAUAUUGGACAAUGGGCGCAAGCCUGAUCCAGCCAUACCGCGUGGGUGAAGAAGGCCUUCGGGUUGUAAAGCCCUUUUGUUGGGAAAGAAAUCCAGCUGGUUAAUACCCGGUUGGGAUGACGGUACCCAAAGAAUAAGCACCGGCUAACUUCGUGCCAGCCGCCGCUGUAA